AGCUGUUUUCUCUGAAGUUUUCGGAUGGAAGAGAGUUCAGCUUAGUGGCGAACGGGUGAGUAACACGUGAGCAACCUGCCUUUCAGUGGGGGACAACAUUUGGAAACGAAUGCUAAUACCGCAUAAGACCACAGUGUCGCAUGGCACAGGGGUCAAAGGAUUUAUCCGCUGAAAGAUGGGCUCGCGUCCGAUUAGCUAGAUGGUGAGGUAACGGCCCACCAUGGCAACGAUCGGUAGCCGGACUGAGAGGUUGAACGGCCACAUUGGGACUGAGACACGGCCCAGACUCCUACGGGAGGCAGCAGUGGGGAAUAUUGCACAAUGGGGGAAACCCUGAUGCAGCGACGCCGCGUGGAGGAAGAAGGUCUUCGGAUUGUAAACUCCUGUCCCAGGGGACGAUAAUGACGGUACCCUGGGAGGAAGCACCGGCUAACUACGUGCCAGCAGCCGCGGUAAAACGUAGGGUGCAAGCGUUGUCCGGAAUUACUGGGUGUAAAGGGAGCGCAGGCGGAUUGGCAAGUUGGGAGUGAAAUCUAUGGGCUCAACCCAUAAAUUGCUUUCAAAACUGUCAGUCUUGAGUGGUGUAGAGGUAGGCGGAAUUCCCGGUGUAGCGGUGGAAUGCGUAGAUAUCGGGAGGAACACCAGUGGCGAAGGCGGCCUACUGGGCACUAACUGACGCUGAGGCUCGAAAGCAUGGGUAGCAAACAGG
rnacentral:rRNA from 1 species